CAGAAUAAUAAAGGGACGAAGCAGAAAAGAAAAUGAAGAAAUGAAUUCAUAAAUAACUUUUUUUUAGCCAUAUUAAAAAUCACACUUUGCUUUUGCGUCCUGCUGAUUACAUUUGUUUUUGUAUUUGUUUUCAGGGUUCAAAGCUAUGUUGCCCCCGCAAACGAGUGGAUCAGAUUAAGACUUCUGUCCAGUGUUGUGAAAAACCUGAAGGAGUGGGUGGAGUCAUAAUAUAUGAUAGGGAGACGUUCGCCAUGAACAAACACCACCUGGGGGCUGUUCCAUGGUGCGGUGAUGCGAACAAGGGCUGGACUGGGACGAUAAAUCUGCCCUCUACAAUCGGCCCACUACAUAAAAACAAAAUGCUACAUAUCUGUGCACGUCCUUGAAUAUGUUUACCAACUCCUAUU